rnacentral:snRNA from 1 species
UACCGGCCAAGCCGCUAAGAA